ACUCCUACGGGAGGCAGCAGUGGGAAUAUUGCACAAUGGGCGCAGCUGCAUGCAGCCAUGCCGCGUGUGUGAAGAAGGCCUUCGUGUUGUAAAGCACUUUCAGUCGUGAGGAAGGUGGUGUUGUUAAUAGCAGCAUCAUUUGACGUUAGCGACAGAAGAAGCACCGGCUAACUCCGUGCCAGCAGCCGCGGUAAUACGGAGGGUGCGAGCGUUAAUCGGAAUUACUGGGCGUAAAGCGCAUGCAGGUGGUUUGUUAAGUCAGAUGUGAAAGCCCGGGGCUCAACCUCGGAAUAGCAUUUGAAACUGGCAAGCUAGAGUACUGUAGAGGGGGUAGAAUUUCAGGUGUAGCGGUGAAAUGCGUAGAGAUCUGAAGGAAUACCGGUGGCGAAGGCGGCCCCCUGACAGAUACUGACACUCAGAUGCGAAAGCGUGGGGAGCAAACAGGAUUAGAUACCCUGGUAGGCUCU
rnacentral:rRNA from 1 species